rnacentral:rRNA from 1 species
ACUGCUCAGUAACACGUGGAUAACCUGCCCUUGGGUCCGGCAUAACCCCGGGAAACUGGGGAUAAUUCCGGAUAACGCAUAUGUGCUGGAAUGCUUUAUGCGUCAAAUGGAUUCGUCUGCCCAAGGAUGGGUCUGCGGCCUAUCAGGUAGUAGUGGGUGUAAUGUACCUACUAGCCGACAACGGGUACGGGUUGUGAGAGCAAGAGCCCGGAGAUGGAUUCUGAGACAUGAAUCCAGGCCCUACGGGGCGCAGCAGGCGCGAAAACUUUACAAUGCGGGAAACCGUGAUAAGGGGACACCGAGUGUCAGCAUCAUAUGCUGGCUGUCCAGGUGUGUAAAAUACACCUGUUAGCAAGGGCCGGGCAAGACCGGUGCCAGCCGCCGCGGUAACACCGGCGGCCCGAGUGGUGAUCGUGAUUAUUGGGUCUAAAGGGUCCGUAGCCGGUUUGGUCAGUCCUCCGGGAAAUCUGAUUGCUCAACUAUUAGGCUAUCGGGGGAUACUGCCAGACUUGGAACCGGGAGAGGUAAGAGGUACUACAGGGGUAGGAGUGAAAUCUUGUAAUCCCUGUGGGACCACCUGUGGCGAAGGCGUCUUACCAGAACGGGUUCGACGGUGAGGGACGAAAGCUGGGGGCACGAACCGGAUUAGAUACCCGGGUAGUCCCAGCCGUAAACGAUGCUCGCUAGGUGUCAGGCAUGGCGCGACCGUGUCUGGUGCCGCAGGGAAGCCGUGAAGCGAGCCACCUGGGAAGUACGGCCGCAAGGCUGAAACUUAAAGGAAUUGGCGGGGGAGCAC